GUAACAGUUAGCAGCCUUGUCGAAGAGAUCAGCGGCAUCUUCGUACUUUGAACCGAACAAUCCCCAACCAUUAAGCUUCUUCUCCGCUUUCUUCUCGAAUUCCUCUCCCUUGGCAAGCUGAUCGGCCAUCUUUAAACAGUAUCCUCGAGUUUGCUUUGAGCUUGAGGAAUGGAACAAGGAAUAUAAACCGGAAGAGAAAUUAAGGCGAAACUAGAAGGGUCAACUAUGGGCUUU
rnacentral:misc_RNA from 1 species